rfam:Salmo salar isolate Sally breed double haploid chromosome ssa07, whole genome shotgun sequence.
CCUUUGAUAGCUCAGUUGGUAGAGUGGAGGACUGUAGGUGAAAGUGCAGCAAUCCUUAGGUCGCUGGUUCAAAUCCUGCUCGAAGGA